UACAGGGGGGGCAAGCGUUGUUCGGAAUUACUGGGCGUAAAGGGUCUGUAGGUGGCCAACUAAGUCAGACGUGAAAUCCCUCAGCUUGACUGGGGAACUGCGUCUGAUACUGGAUGGCUUGAGUGUGGGAGAGGAAUGCGGAAUUCCAGGUGUAGCGGUGAAAUGCGUAGAUAUCUGGAGGAACACCGGUGGCGAAGGCGGGUCUCUGGGCCAUAACUGACGCUGAGGAGCGAAAGCGUGGGGAGCGAACAGG
rnacentral:rRNA from 1 species